AGGUCAUAUCAUAACCUAAUCAGUUUUGACCUAAUUGAAUCCAAUUCAAUUAGACUUGAUUGAAACUUUAAUGCUCAAUCAAAUUGAGCUAAUCAGUGAUCUAAUUGUUGACUAAUCCUCUUAAAUUAUACUAACACUUAGUAAAUUAUAUUAUUGCAACUAUUACACAGGGUUAAUCAUCAAUCGUAUUGACAGUUUUACCCUCGAAUGAUUUUCAAUCAUCGAUCUGCCAAU
rnacentral:lncRNA from 1 species